rnacentral:rRNA from 1 species
CAGUCGUACCUGCGGGUAAUCAGCCUUUCGGGUAUGAUUCUGUGGAGUGUGGGGAGCUAAACACCCUCAUGCCUGCAUAUUCGUGCUCUUGGGUGUACUUGCUCGUGUGGUUGGUUAACAUCAAUUUCGGAUGCCAUAAAUGACUGGAGGAAUGUAGCUUCGAUCUCGUAUUGAAGUGUUAUAGCCUUCGGUAGAUGGUGGUGAUCGGGGAUUGAGGAUUGCAACGGAUACCCGUUCGGGGCUACCGUGUCUGAUCUCUGAUCGUUGCUCGUGGUACCGAAAGGCGUGCUUACGGUUAU